rnacentral:tRNA from 3 species
UGGGGGAUGGUUUAACGGUAGAACGAGCGGCUCUGACCCGCUUAGUCCUGGUUCGAAUCCAGGUCCCCCAGCCA